rnacentral:rRNA from 1 species
GACGAACGCUGGCGGCGUGCCUAAUACAUGCAAGUCGAGCGGACUGAUUAAGAGCUUGCUCUUAUGACGUUAGCGGCGGACGGGUGAGUAACACGUGGGCAACCUGCCCUGUAGAUCGGGAUAACACCGAGAAAUCGGUGCUAAUACCGGGUAAUAUCUGAGAUCACAUGAUCUUAGGUUAAAAGAUGGCUCCGGCUAUCACUACAGGAUGGGCCCGCGGCGCAUUAGCUAGUUGGUAAGGUAAUGGCUUACCAAGGCGACGAUGCGUAGACGACCUGUGAGGGUGUUCGGCCACACUGGGACUGGUACACGGCCCAGACUCCUACGGGAGGCAGCAGUAGGGAAUCUUCCGCAAUGGACGAAAGUCUGACGGAGCAACGCCGCGUGAGUGAUGAAGGGUUUCGGCUCGUAAAGCUCUGUUGUUAGGGAAGAAACAGUACCGAACGAACUAGGUCGGUACCUUGACGGUACCUAGACAGAAAGCCACGGCUAACUACGUG